AAGAAAGUAGCAGAGUGGCUAAGCAGCUGGCUUGAAACCAGAGUACGGGGGUUCGAUUCCCUCCUUUCUCG
rnacentral:tRNA from 1 species